CCCUUAGAUGUCCUGGGCCGCACGCGUGCUACACUGACGCAUACAGCGAGCACUUUCCAGUUCCGAGAGGCUACUGGUAAUCAUCAAUAUGCGUCGUGAUGGGGAUAGAUCUUUGGAAUUCUGGAUCUUGAACGAGGAAUGCCUAGUAAUCGCAGGUCAUUAGCCUGCGAUGAUUAAGUCCCUGCCCUUUGUACGCACCGCCCGUCGCUACUACCGAUUUCGAGUGGUCAGGUGAAUCUUUCGGACUGUGGGCGCCCUUGAGGUGUUCGCGGAAAGUCAGGUAAAUCUUAUCACUUAGAGGAAGUAAAAGUCGUAACA
rnacentral:rRNA from 1 species